rnacentral:rRNA from 1 species
CCUACGGGAGGCAGCAGUGGGGAAUCUUGCGCAAUGGGCGAAAGCCUGACGCAGCCAUGCCGCGUGAAUGAUGAAGGUCUUAGGAUUGUAAAAUUCUUUCACCGGGGACGAUAAUGACGGUACCCGGAGAAGAAGCCCCGGCUAACUUCGUGCCAGCAGCCGCGGUAAUACGAAGGGGGCUAGCGUUGCUCGGAAUUACUGGGCGUAAAGGGAGCGUAGGCGGAUAGUUUAGUCAGAGGUGAAAGCCCAGGGCUCAACCUUGGAAUUGCCUUUGAUACUGGCUAUCUUGAGUAUGGGAGAGGUUAGCGGAACUCUGAGUGUAGAGGUGAAAUUCGUAGAUAUUCGGAAGAACACCAGUGGCGAAGGCGGCUAACUGGCCCAUUACUGACGCUGAGGCUCGAAAGCGUGGGGAGCAAACAGGAUUAGAUACCCUGGUAGUCCACGCCGUAAACGAUGAGUGCUAGUUGUCGGCAUGCAUGCAUGUCGGUGACGCAGCUACGCAUAAGACACUCCGCCGUCGGGGAGGUACGGUCGCGAGAAUUAAACUACAAGAAGUUAGUACGGCGUGAGACGUGCCGACGGACGACGACGAGGGAGGUUAGG